ACUUAAUUUUGAGUGUUUAAAAACAAUCUCAACCUUAACUUUAGCUUUUUGGAAUACUUCCAGUUACCACCGACUGUGAGCUCACUUAUAAAACUGAAGACUCUUGGACUCACAGGAAAUGACUUUUUAUCCUUCCCAGAGGAAAUCUUUUCCUUAGUGUCUCUGGAGAAAUUAUACAUUGGACAAGACCAGGGAUUCAAGUUCUCCAGUGUGCCAGAAAACAUCAAGAAAUUGCAGAAUCUUAAAGAACUAUACAUAGAAAACAACUUUCUGGAGUCCCUGCCUUCAUCCUUGGGGUCAAUGUCAAACCUGGAAGUUCUUGAUUGUCGGCAUAAUCUUCUUAAGCAACUCCCAGAUGCCAUUUGCCAUCUUCAAGAUUCAGGCGUGGUGGCGUGGAACCAUGGUGCGGAAAGGAUUUGGGUCUUUUGAAGAGCUACUAAAAGCCAGAAAAAAAGGAAAAACCUCUCCAAAAGAUAAGAAAGGCAAAAAGGCUGCAAAAGGAAAACCUGCAAAAGGAAAUAAAAAAUAAUUGUGUAAAUGAAUGAAUGACGAUAAGGAUCACUAACAGAGCAGAAAGACAACAUGUCUAGGGACCAGACAACAGCCACACUAAAAUCCACCCAAUUCAGGUUAUUUGUAAUAACAAAAGAGUCUUAAUUUGACUGAAAUGUUCAUGGGAAGAAUGACAUAAUGCCUGGUAACUGCUUCAACAUAGCAUGCUAGAGGAUAGAUAAGGGGACAUGGGUUCAGAUGAAGCAAGGCAGGACCCGCCGUGAAUUAACAUCUGCAGAAGUGGGCGAUGAGCAUGUGGCAGUCCCUGCAUUCUCUUGUCUACUUAAAAACAUCUGGGGGAAUCAUGGAUUUACAGGGAAAUACACAAGCAUGUCUAAUCACCCCUACCUGUGACAGCUUUGCACAGCACUAGUUUGAAAAUAAGACUAAAAAACUCAUUGGUUCAAUCAACAGCACUCACUCAGAUUCCAUCAGUUAUGUGUGCACACGUGUGUGCAUUGUGUAGUUCAAUGCAAUUGUGUCACACAUAGCUUUGUACAAACACUGCUGUAGUCAAAGGCACAGGUUGCUCCUCACAAGUCUCCAUUGUGACAUUCUUUUGUAUUCACACUUCUCUCUGUGUACCAAAUCCUAACUUACCCUCCAUUUCCCAUCAAAUGAUAGGGACUUGCAGCUUCCUUCAAACUUUUCAUUAUAUUUAUUUACUCUGUGUGUGUGU